GGGCCCCUAGCUCAGCGGAAGAGCGCUGCGUUUGCAACGCAGAGGUCGGCGGUUCGAGCCCGCCGGGGUCCACCA
rnacentral:tRNA from 1 species